rnacentral:lncRNA from 1 species
GAGCAGAUGACCAUCCUGUACGACAUCUGGAACGCGGGGCUGGACGCCGAGGACAUGCACUUCCUGCGCCUCACCUACGAGCGCCUGCUGCAGGAGGACAACAGCACCGACUGGCUCAACGACACCCACUGGGUGCACCACACCGAUAUCCCCGCCCCGGGGGCGUCCGGCGCUUGGAGAUAGGGUAUCACGAUGUCUGGGUGUUGGAGGACUGGGGUGUCCGGGGGUUGGGAGACGGAGCAUCAGGAUGUCCAGGGGUUGGAGGACUGGGGCGUCCAAGGGUUGGGAUAUGGGGUGUCAGGAUGUCCGGGUGUUGGAGGACUGCGGUGUCCGGGUGUUGGGAGACGGGGCAUCAGGAUAUCCAGGUGUUGGAGGACUGCGGUGUCCGGGUGUUGGGAGAUGGGGCAUCAGGAUAUCCAGGUGUUGGAGGACUGCGGUGUCCGGGUGUUGGGAGACAGGGUGUCAGGAUGUGUGGGUGUUAGAGAAUUGUGGUGUCCAGGUGUUGGGGGACUGGGGUGUCCGAGUGUUGGGAGACAGGCGGUCAGGAUGUCCAGGUGUUGGGGACUGUGUCCGAGUGUUGAGAGACAUGGUGUCAGGAUGUCUGGGUGUUGGAGAAUUGUGGUGUCCAGGUGUUGGAGGACUGCGGUGUCCGGGUGUUGGGAGACAGGCUGUCAAGAUGUCCGGGUGUUGUAGGAGUGGGGCGUCCAGGUGUUGGGAGAUGGGGUGUCAGGAUGUCUGGGGGUUGUAGGAUUGGGGCCUCCAAGGGUUGGGAUAUGGGG